CUGGCUAUUAUAAAAGGUUUUGGUCGUUACCUCAAAAUGAUUGGCUGCCUAAAAGUACGUAACAAACUGUAAGUAGCUGUUUUCAGAGAGUGGAACCAACGUGAUAUUAAGGAAUUGCCCUUCUCAGGUAUCAGGGAUUUAGUUCUCAUACUUGCCCUCUUGUUGCCAUUCUUUUGGCUCCUCUUUCUUCUUGUAGCACUUGCACUGGACUUCUUCAGCAAGAUAUUAUCUUCGUCCAAAAUAUUACCAUUCCCAUUCACUGGAUGGGAGUUGCUUGAAUUGGCAGAGUCAUGAGAAACUU